AACCAUGUAGAUAUAUUUCGAGUGUACAUAAGGUGAUGUAAACAGAAUUUUCACAUAGGCACAUCUAAAAGUCAAGUUUCCAAACGUAAUUCAGAUAAAAGUGAGGUACGUCUACUAUGUAAAGAAUAGUGGGUUACGUGACAAAUCCCCUAGGAAGAUUAGACCGUACGAAAAACCAGACGGGACGAAAUCCAUCAAGUACAACUGAGGAAUUAAGAAGUCACUAUUACUCGAUAAGUACCUAGAUCGUUGACUGACAUAAACGAAACAGGGCUCUACUACCUAUGAAAAAAAUACUCUAGUACCUAUGAACUUACGGGAAAGAACUGGUGUAUGCCAAAGACUAACAAAAGCAUGCAAAUACGGAGAAGACUCGAACACCUUGGGUAAAUAAAAGGGUUUCUAGUGAGCACGGACGAUUCAGAACCCUAGGUAAAAAAACAAGGAUACACUGGUUAGGCAUCUUCUUACGUACGAGGACUCGGUAUCUUCUUUAGUCGUCCACCUGUUUCAACUCCCGGGCUCCAUCGUUAUCAAGAAGUUUCCGUGACCCGUUAUUAACUAACCAGCUUCCAUCGUAAAAGACAGCUUGAAGUUAACUGUCCCUUCUUUAAGAAAGAUAUACACGGAAACCAAAAGAAAGCGAAUCCCUCAAGCAUGUCAAGAAAAAAGUCCCGUUCUCUAAGAAGUCGAUCUAUUGUUUCUCGUGAAAUUAAUUAAUCUAGUCUUCAACGAAAAUGGUAGCUCGAAGUCAACUGUCCCUUUUUUAACAAAGACAGAUACGGAAACCAAAAGAAAAUGAAUCCCUCAAACAUAUCAAAAAAAGUCCCCUUCUCUAAGAAGUCGAUCUACUCUUUCUCGUGAGACUAAUUAAUCUAGUCUUCAACGCACACUACUACUAACGAGCACGUCUGAUGUUACCGUGGUUGGUGGUCCGCUCCAGCAGUCACUCCGCGGCAACCACCUGUACUCAUUUCGAAGAACUGGAUAUGCUAAGUACCAAACCGUAUAAACGAAGUAGCCUCACGAAGUACAUGAACCAGACUCUACUAACUCUAGGAAUUAAACGUAACCAAAUAAAACGGCGUAGAGGACGUUAUGUAAUCACUUUUCGAAUCGUCACGACUAGAAGAUUUGAACUUCAAUUAAUACUGAACGAAUUUGAGUAUUAUUAAAACAAAACCUCUCACGUCUUUAGUAAAACUCCUUUGUCACUUGUUUUUUCAACCCCGUAGGUAAGGACCCAUUAGUCGACCCUCUUCGGGUCUUUUUAGACUGUCCUCACCACUGUCAUCGUCGUCGUACGGACUAUGUUCUGGGGACUUAUCACUAACCUCGUAAUUUCGGUACCACCAUAAGUAAAAAACGUCGGCAACCUACUACAUAGUAUUUUGUCUUAAAGUGAAGCCUAUCGACGUACACAUGUAUACACCACCUCCUUGAGUUGUUAAAGGUCAUUUUCGUUUGCAAAAACGUCAGUUUCCAUUGGAAACGAUGUAGACAAUAACUUAUAUACAACCCCUCCCGUCAUCGUCAAAAGUCUACAAACACACAAUUUAGGCAACAUUCGAAAGGUAGACACGUAAUAAGUAUUUGAAUUACCCGAAGUUAAAAUACGACGUACUACGUCUAUUUAAAUAACCAAUAAAUUUUAUAGCUGUCUAUAAAAGAUAUAGACCUUCCUACCCGGUGUAACUUGAGUGAUUAAGAAAAUGUUCGCGUGUACUUAACGAUUAUGUCCGGCCAGUACAAAAGGUUGAAAAGGAAGAAGAGGACUACAAGGGGACAUGAUGAACGGUUCCUAGUUCACGGAGAUUUCAAUAUGUACACAUGCAUAUAACUUACUAUAUGAAAAAUGAUCCCUAAAGAAAUAGCUCGCAAAUUGUACGAAAUCAAUCAAACGUACCGUAAAGGUGAUACGAAUCUUGUUGUAACACUUCCAUGCACAAUAAGAUGGAGAACCCGACAUUACGAGGUAAGUAAGUUACAAAAUCCAACACGAAGAGCUACUAGUCUAUAAAUACCGUACCAACAAUACGAGACGAGUACCAGCACACAUUGCAUCCCAUAUCUACUACGAAGUACCACUAGUACCACGGUACCACCACCACAUGUACCGUAGCUACCAUGAAGUACGUACGUACCAACGAAAGAAACGUUGUCUAUACGUCGCGACGGAAAAGCGAAGAAGAGACAAAAUAUACAGAUUAACAAGGUCCCCAGAUUGUCGUCCGUCAUAUAAAGUGCCCUAAAGAUAUAGUCAUCAAAAGACGAGUUUGAAAAAGUACGUGGAUAUUAAUACGUAACCGGAAGACCUAUAUCAACCUUACGAUGUAGGUAAAUAAUAUAGUAUAACGGUACUCAAUAUUGGCACAGAAGUACAAACAGGAUAAAAUGAAUGGAAGGAUACAAAAGAACUCUUUGAAGUACGGACGCUUCGAAACCACUGAACUACUGUCCUCUUCACCAGUCCUAACUCGGUAGCCUGUUCUCUACUGGCGGCAGCUAACGGUUGUUUAAAAACAUACGGCGUCACUCGCCCUACCCAAGUUAUAGAAGUCUACGAGACGUGACGUGGCCGAUAUAAACUAUACUCAGGUGUACGUUUUAUUUCCGUAGUGUGCAAGACCCAACGAGUCGAUACGAAAAAAAAGCACUAACCUAAUAUACGAUGAGCCACAACUUCCCAAACAAGUACAGUUUCAAUUGUUUAGAACACUACAAUGGUCUCUAACGGGUAAAUGAGUAAGACGUACCCUACCAGUCCCAAACUAAUAAAAACAGUCGUCUGAAAGUAAGUCUUUUAUUGGGUUACCGCGAGCGGACAAGAGAAAUGAAUACAUUGAUGUGUUAUCACG
rnacentral:rRNA from 1 species